rnacentral:misc_RNA from 1 species
GAUGAAGAACGUAGCGAAAUGCGAUACUUGGUGUGAAUUACAGAAUCCCGUGAACCAUCGAGUCUUUGAACGCAAGUUGCGCCCGAAGCCACUAGGCCGAGGGCACGCCUGCCUGGGCGUCACAGGCCGUUGCCCCCCCAUCUACUCCUUCGGGAUUGCGGGGGGGCGGAUGAUGGCCUCCCGUGCGCCUAGCCGCGCGGUUGGCAUAAAUACCAAGUCCUCGGCGACGCACGCCACGACAAUCGGUGGUUGCGAAACCUCGGUUGCCCGUCGUGUGCGUUCGUCGCGCAUCGAGGGCUCGAAAAAAUGCUCGGCUCCGGCUGGGCUUUCAACGCGACCCCAGGUCAGGCGGGGUUACCCGCUGAAUUUAAGCAUAUCAAUAAGCGGAGGA